GUAAAUCGGGGGGGGGGGAGCGUGGUAAUGCGGAGGGUCCGGACGUUAAUGGGAAUGACUGGGGGGAAAGCGGGGGCAGGCGGGUUGUUAAGGAGGAUGUGAAAGCCCUGUGCUCAACCUAGGAAUAGCAUGUCGAACUGGCGAACUAGAGUCUUGUAGAGGGGGGUAGAAUUCCAGGUGUAGCGGUGAAAUGCGUAGAGAUCUGGAGGAAUACCGGUGGCGAAGGCGGCCCCCUGGACAAAGACUGACGCUCAUGCACGAAAGCGUGGGGAGCAAACAGGAUUAGAUACCCCAGUAGUC
rnacentral:rRNA from 1 species